rnacentral:rRNA from 1 species
GCCGCGGUAAAACCAGCACCUCAAGUGGUCAGGAUGAUUAUUGGGCCUAAAGCAUCCGUAGCCGGCUUUGUAAGUUUUCGGUUAAAUCCAUGUGCUCAACGCAUGGGCUGCCGAAAAUACUGCAUAGCUAGGGAGUGGAAGAGGUAGACGGUACUCAGUAGGUAGGGGUAAAAUCCUUUGAUCUAUUGAUGACCACCUGUGGCGAAGGCGGUCUACCAGAACACGUUCGACGGUGAGGGAUGAAAGCUGGGGGAGCAAACCGGAUUAGAUACCCGGGUAGUCCCAGCUGUAAACGAUGCAGACUCGAUGAUGCAUUGGCAUAAUAGCCAUUGCAGUGUCGCAGGGAAGCCGUUAAGUCUGCCGCCUGGGAAGUACGUACGCAAGUAUGAAACUAAAGGAAUUGGCGGGGGAGCACGGUCAA